AACAUCAGGACGCACUCAAAUGUUUUUAACCGAAGAGCGAUAACCGAAGGAUGGUAUGAGCAUCAGGACGCACUCAAAUGUUUUUAACCAAAAGGACGAUAACCGAAGGAUGGUAUGAAGAUCAAGACACACUCAAAUGUUUUUAGCCGAAGGGAGUUAUCCUAACAUGUUGCACGCGAGAGGAAGGAAAGUAAAAGGAUAUGAUUUUAAGAGCACGAAUGAUUUUACCUAGAACUCCUCUGAAUGGACUGUACAUACAAUAUCGUGCCUGUGUACAAAAGCUUGCUAUGUAACGACAGUGCAUUUUCUAUGCAUGAAACCAGAAUGAAAGCAUAUUCUAUGCAACAAUAGAAAAGUGCAUAUUCUAUGCAAUAAUAAUGGAGAAGCGCAUAUUUUAUGCAUGUGUAACGAAUAGAAAAUGCAUAUUCUAUGCAAGACAAUAACUGAGAUAUAAUGGCAUGUUCUAUGCGAACUAAACAAUUUGAGAGCAUAUUCUAUGCAUGAUUGGUAACGGGAGCAUCUUCUACGAAUGAUUCAAGGACAAAUGCAUAUAUUCCAUGCAUGAUUCAAGAGCGAAAGCAAUAAGCAUGUUAUAUGCAUAAUGCAAGAGCGGAAGCACAUUCUAUGCAGCUAGAGUAAGAGCAUGUUCUAUGCGACAGUUUAAGUGGAAUGCACGUUCCAUGCAACAACAAAGAAACACAUAUUCUAUGCAACAACAAAAGAAUAGUCGUCAAAACCAAUUCAAGAACAACUUCCGAUUUACCUACCUCUCGGAAAAGUUGCAAUAUGUUCAAAAGGAUACACCUUACUUAUGUUAAUGAGUGACGAACAUCGUGCACUGGAAAUGCAGUUCUGAGCUUCCAUAGAGGCAUUCUGAACUCAAUAAUGAACAAUCCCUUCAAUUUUGAAAUCCAAGGACAGAAAACAGAACUAGGGACACAGAGGAGACCCUUGGAAACCCGCCGGCCACCUGUCGGCCACUGGUGUGCCUUGUCGGCCAUCGAUGGUGCCUUGCCGGCCAUCGAUAGCAGUUCGGGGCAAAGCUGUUUUUUCAUGCACGAGCCUUUAAAUACAAGCCUCGUUUCCUCACACCUUCUUGACCGAAAAUGCUCUCUCUCUCUCUCUGGGUGCUUUCCCUCUCUAGAUCUGAGCCUUUUACGCGUUUUCCAACGCCCCACACAAACUUUAUUCGCUAAAUCCUUCUAGUUCUCUUCGCUUUGAACCGAUUGGAAUUUGAUUUUGACGCUUCUUUCCUUAUUUCCACCAUUCUAGACUCAUUUCCCUUGAGUUUCUCUCGAAUUCUGUGCAUUUUUCCCGACUUUGAAUUUUUCCUUCAUUUUCUCUCUCUUAGGGUUGACUUUUCCAAGUUUACUCUUUUUUCUUCACUUUUCACCCAUCUUGCACCUAUUUUCAGAUGGCGGACGAUUUGCCUUAGGAUGGGACUCCUCCCAAGCUUCCCCCAGUAGACUUUGAGGUGAACAUCAAGGCCGAGCCAGAGCCGUUAUCGCUAAGUGUACGGCCUUUUGAUCCAGUGAGGUAUCAUCCUCAGACACAUAUUGUCCACUACCGAAGGCAUCAGAUGUGUUACUAAUUUCGCUGACGACGCGCCAGAGGGCCUCCUGUUGAGGGAGCCAGAGUCUCAUUUAUCGGCCAUUGCCAUUGAGGGUGAGUCUCGUGCCUUUAGGGGCUAUGGUGCGACGACUACUCGAGAUUGGUAUGACGAGUUCCCAGCUGGAGUUCGUGACAUUGUUGACGAUGUAGGCUUCGGCCUCUUCUACUCCAGCUUAACUUAGGUUACCAAGAGCCAUCAUCUCUUAGGAGCACUGGUGAAGAGAUGGUGGGACACCACCAACUCCUUCCACUUUUCCACCACAGGAGAGAUGACGAUGACUCCUUACAACUUUGCCAUGAUCACCGGCUUAGACGUAAGAGGUGAUCCGAUCCCUCUUGACCCAGAUAUGGAGGAGUAGGAGGUAACCUGGCUCGAGUUUCUUAGGGCACAUCCACAGAUAUACCGGACGGGCAUGAUGCGAUACACCUGGUUCAAGGAGUAGUUCAGGGGGACCGAGCCCGAGACGAUAGAGGAGAUAGAGCAGUAUGACAAGGGCUUCAUGAUGUUCAUCUUCGGUACCACUUUAUGUUCAAACAGGUGGGAUACCGUGGGCCUGUAUUUGCUGAGUGCCAUGGUGACUCUUCUUCGUGUUCAGUUUUAUUAUUGGGGCAAAACCGGCCUCACCACAUUAUACGGAUAUAUGAGUUCUUCCUCCCGUCUGCAAGGGAACUUGGUUAGAGACUAUUGGCGAGCCUGGGAGCUAUGGGUGUACGCAUACUUCCCGACUCUUGCCGCAGAGCCUGUAGAUGAGAUUCCAUUGACGGUCCCCUUUUCUCGAGUGUACGAUGGCCAGCUUCACCGUAGGACUCGUGAGCCCUUCAUGUUUUUUCGUCAGUACUUCGACACGGUAGCAGCGCACGAGAUCACAUGGCAGCCCUGGGCCACGAUACCAACAGAGCUUCA